rnacentral:rRNA from 1 species
UGGGGGAUAUUGCACAAUGGGCGAAAGCCUGAUGCAGCGACGCCGCGUGGGGGAUGAAGGCUUUCGGGUUGUAAACCUCUUUCGCUAUCGAACAAGGCCCGCUUAGGGUGGGUUGAGGGUAGGUGGAGAAGAAGCGCCGGCUAACUACGUGCCAGCAGCCGCGGUAAUACGUAGGGCGCGAGCGUUGUCCGGAAUUAUUGGGCGUAAAGGGCUUGUAGGCGGCUUGUUGCGCCUGCUGUGAAAACGCGGGGCUUAACUUCGCGCGUGCAGUGGGUACGGGCAGGCUUGAGUAUGGUAGGGGUGACUGGAAUUCCAGGUGUAGCGGUGGAAUGCGCAGAUAUCUGGAGGAACACCGAUGGCGAAGGCAGGUCACUGGGCCAUUACUGACGCUGAGGAGCGAAAGCAUGGGUAGCGAACAGG